rnacentral:rRNA from 1 species
CCCUUAGAUGUCCUGGGCUGCACGCGCGCUACACUGAUGUGUCCAGUAAGCACCUAACCUAUUCCGAGAGGAGCGGGUAACCUUAGCAAAGCACAUCGUGAUGGGGAUAGAUUAUUGCAAUUAUUAGUCUUGAACGAGGAAUUCCUAGUAAGCACAAGUCAUCAGCUUGUGUUGAUUACGUCCCUGCCCUUUGUACACACCGCCUGUCGCUCCUACCGAUUGAAUGUUCCGGUGAGCUCUUCGGACUGCGCGGUCUGCAGUUUCUGCGUUCCGUGCGGAAAGUUGUGCAAACCUUAACAUUUAGAGGAAGGAGAAGUCGUAACA